GUUGAAAAUACACAUGAACGUAAUGCCAAUAGCGGAAAACACAACUCGAGUCUGUAGUUCCAUUUAACUUAGUAGUAUAAAGUAAGCGAAAAGCAGUGGAGAUGUUUGGAAACAUUCAGUAAAGAAGAGCCUCUUGCAACGCAAAAUAAACUGAUUGGGUAGUCUUGCUGAUUCUUAGAUUCAGAGGACAGUAUUUGUAUGACGAGAAUGGCAAUUCGUAUUUGGACUGUAUCAGCAACGUUCAGCACGUUCAGAGGCCAAUGAUCUAGCAUUACACUUGGAACCCAACAUGAAGACAUUGUGUUUGACCAGCCCCUGUAGCAGACACCUGUAGAGGUGUGUAGAGACGACCAACCCAGCCCAGACAUAUGCAGAUACUGUGGAGGACGUGAUAGACCAGGUGCACCAACAAGGUCGCAAGCUACCUCAAAUACAGUAGUGCGUGGACGAGGAGAACAGAAGUCUACAUUUGGACACAGAGCAGUGUGUAAUGCUGAUAGUGUAGUAACAGUGUAACAAUGCUUAUUAGUUGUGUUCUAAAUCUAUGGGUAUACUCUCUCAAUAUGGAAAUGAACCACAGGUUUCACCGUUUUUGAUUAAGUCGUUGCCCAGUCAUCUUCUUGCCCAAACGAUACUCAACCAAAGUAACAGAGUAGGUACUGCCUCGGCGCAUACGAUAUCAGUGUACUAUUAUACUGUACCAUUCUCUCAUCAGCGAAGACUAGGUCCAACAGCCAAAUCCUCACGAGUUAGGAUCAAGGUCAUUGUGCAUAAUAAAAGCUUUGCUCUGUUGGUAUCUCUCUACAGAUAUGUGUGCUCUGCAAGGAGAAUGUUUGUGGCAGACGAGGUGAAGACAGGUUUUGGGUGUGUGGGGAGUCACUUUUGGGCGUUCCAGCUUCAGGGUGAUGACUUCUACCCUGACAUAAUGACCAAGGUGAUGGGUAACAGGCAUCCCCUGGCAUGUAUGGUAACCAUAGUGGAGAUAGCUGGGGCCUUCACAGCCAACAAAGUGGAGUACUUUCACACAGUGAGAGACUAGUUAGUAGUUGCUGUUACUACCUAUUUAAAAAAAUGUUACCUUAAUUUAACUUGGCAAGUCAGUUAAGAACAAAUUCUUAUUUACAAUGAUGACCUACCCUGGCCAAACCCUAACGACCCUGGGCCAAUUGUGUGCCGCUCUAUAGAACUCCCAAUCACAGCCGGUUGUGAUACAGCCUGGAAUCUAACCAGGGUCUGUAGUGACGCCUCUAGCACUGAAAUGCAGUGUCUUAGACUGCUGCACCACUCGGGAGCCCCUAUAUAUAUUCUUUAGAAAAUAAGGUGUUGUGCACAACAGUUAAUGUUGUAAAUUGUUUACUGCACUGCAUCUGUGUACACAACCAAUAAACCCUGAUAUGUGCAACUCAAA